rnacentral:rRNA from 1 species
CAGUAGCCGCGGUAACACGGAGGGUGCAAGCGUUAAUCGGAAUUACUGGGCGUAAAGCGCACGCAGGCGGUCUGACAAGUCAGAUGUGAAAUCCCCGGGCUUAACCUGGGAACUGCAUUUGAAACUGUCAGGCUGGAGUCUUGUAGAGGGGGGUGGAAUUCCAGGUGUAGCGGUGAAAUGCGUAGAGAUCUGGAGGAAUACCGGUGGCGAAGGCGGCCCCCUGGACAAAGACUGACGCUCAGGUGCGAAAGCGUGGGGAGCAAACAGGAUUAGAUACCCCGGUAGUCCCUGUCUCUUAUAC